rnacentral:rRNA from 1 species
UACAGAGGGUGCGAGCGUUGUUCGGAAUCACUGGGCGGAAAGCGCGCGCAGGCGGGCGUGUAAGGCAGAAGUGAAAUUCCGGGGCUCAACCCCGGAGCUGCUCCUGAUACUGCACGUCUGGAGACCGGUAGAGGCUGGUGGAAUUCCCGGUGUAGCGGUGGAAUGCGUAGAGAUCGGGAAGAACACCCGUGGCGAAGGCGGCUUCCUGGACACCAACUGACGCUGAGACGCGAAAGCGUGGGGAGCAAACAGG